rnacentral:tRNA from 1 species
GGCCCCAGCAUGUCAGGCUGCAAACCYGACCUCGGCGCUUUGCYCGGGGCUU